UACGUAGGGUGCAAGCGUUAAUCGGAAUUACUGGGCGUAAAGCGUGCGCAGGCGGUUAUGUAAGACAGGUGUGAAAUCCCCGGGCUUAACCUGGGAACUGCAUUUGUGACUGCAUAGCUAGAGUACGGUAGAGGGGGAUGGAAUUCCGCGUGUAGCAGUGAAAUGCGUAGAUAUGCGGAGGAACACCGAUGGCGAAGGCAAUCCCCUGGACCUGUACUGACGCUCAUGCACGAAAGUGUGGGGAGCAAACAGG
rnacentral:rRNA from 1 species